rnacentral:rRNA from 1 species
CGGGUGCACUGAUCCGGCCGGGCCUUUCCCUCUGUGGAACCCCAUGGCCUUCACUGGCUGUGCGGGGGAAACAGGACUUUUACUGUGAAAAAAUUAGAGUGCUCCAGGCAGGCCUAUGCUCGAAUACAUUAGCAUGGAAUAAUAGAAUAGGACGCGUGGUUCUAUUUUGUUGGUUUCUAGGACCGCCGUAAUGAUUAAUAGGGACAGUCGGGGGCAUCAGUAUUCAAUUGUCAGAGGUGAAAUUCUUGGAUCUAUUGAAGACUAACUACUGCGAAAGCAUUUGCCAAGGAUGUUUUCAUUGAUAAGGAACGAAAGUUAGGGGAUCGAAGACGAUCAGAUACCGUCGUAGUCUUAACUAUAAACUAUGCCGACUAGGGAUCGGGACGAUGUUAUUUUUUGACCGCGUUCGGCCCCCUUUCGAGAAAAUCAAAGGUGGCUUGGGCUUCCAGGGGGGAGGUAUUGGUCGCAAAGGCUGAAACCUUAAAGAAAAUUGACGGGAAGGGCACCCACCAGGGGUGGAACCUGCGGCUUAAUUUGACUCAACACGGGGAAACUCACCAGGUCCAGACACAGUGAGGAUUGACAGAUUGAGAGCUCUUUCUUGAUUCUGUGGGUGGUGGUGCAUGGCCGUUCUUAGUUGGUGGAGUGAUUUGUCUGCUUAAUUGCGAUAACGAACGAGACCUUAACCUGCUAAAUAGCCCGUACUGCUCUGGCAGUUCGCCGGCUUCUUAGAGGGACUAUCGG